GAAACUAGGUCCUUUGGCACCACCUGGUGGACAAAAGAAAGAACAAGCUGAAAUGUUUGACAUGUGUCAAACAUUUGGGCGCGUGCAUGUUUCACCAGUGACGAAUGGAGGGCCGCGCCGGACGUCUCUCCAACCACAGCUUGCUGGUCUGAAAGACAAUAUGCAGGCCUGUGGACAGAAAUGAGAAGACAAUUAAAAGCAGUCGAUUGAAAGAGUUGACUUUAAAACUCACAGAAAGUCAGUCUGCCAUGACGGGCUCGUUUUGAGGGUUUGCACCUGCAGACAAAGUAGAAAAUUAACACGAAUGCAUCGAAAUCCCUGUUUCAGUAAUUCUCUGGUGGAUUCAUGCAAACGCUGCUACGUCUACUUACCUUCGGCCAAACGACGCUGUCGUCCAGACGUUGCUAAAUGUUUGUGCAAAAAUUGUGUUAGUCAUCUUUCCACACGGUGCGUGCUUGAGUUUU